ensembl:lncRNA
CUCUCGUUAAUUAUAGCCCCGCCCACCGUCAGGCCCCGCCUUCUCGGGACCGAAGUCUCCGCCGCACCGGACACGGGACUCUCCGAGGUCGCUCACUGCCGGUGGGUGUGAUCAAGGCCAGGAUGCCGUUGGAGCCGGCCCUGGUGCUCUCUCCUUCCCUGCCCCCGGUUUCCAGUCGUCAAGAUCGCGGGUUCUCUGGAGUGCGCUCGGAGUCAGUUGUCAGGAGUCCCGCGGACGGCGUCCAGAAGUGGGCCUUUGGCGCCACCUGUCUUCGGUGCUUGCAGCCACCAGGAAAGCACAGCACUGCUCAAUGAACAAUUGCUUCACUCGUUAAGUAUUUGUGUAACUCUAACAUCUGCCGACUCCCCCCAGCAGAACAGCAGAUCUGCUCUCAUCGUAUUUGGAAGACCCUGGCCCUCAAGCUGAGUGGUCUUUGUGUCUUUAUAGCAGCUUGGGGUCCUUCCUCUUGAAUCCCGUUUCCCAGGGACAAAAGCACAGCCUCUCACCUGGGGGCCAAGAAUUGUUAGAGAGCAGAGCCAGUGAAUAGUGACAGCCAUGUCUCUGGUCCGGAAAUGCCCGCCUCCCAAGGAACUUGCUUUUGGAGAAACAGCAGCCAAAAAGAAGAAAAAUACACCUGUCUAUUCCCGGCAACCACGAGAUACAGAAAACUAGCCAGCUUUGAUCUCAGCUGACAUUCUGGGCAGGAUCUCCCCCUUGGAGCAGUUUCGCAUCCUCCGACAUUUGGUGCACGGUUAUCAAUGUGGCCACUGCUUUCCUUUGUUCCUGUCAGAUCUGACUUCCAGGAGCUUUAUACCUUCACCCAGCAAGGCAGCAACUUGCCUUUCCUGCCUCGACUAAGGGUCGGGUCCUUGUCCUUUCCAGCCACCUCAGCGAUGACUUCGCACUUAGGAACUCUGGAGGGCCAGAGCCCAGCGGGUGUGACCUAAGAGGGAAGAUGACGGUCACAGAAACUACAGCAGCCUGCCACCUGGGGAGGUUCUGGGGCUCCAGUCGUCCUGAGUCUGGACCCACAGAGGAGGCACAAACCCUCAUGGGUUUGUUCUGGAUCAGGAAGGCAGCCUACACUUCCCUGGGUGCCCUUCUCGGGGCUGUUAGCCAAGGAAGAUAAAGCUCCACUUCUGGGGAGGCUGGGCGAGGCAAAUCUCCUUUGGCAGCUUUGGGCCACAGGAUGACGUGAAAUGGGCCACCAGCCCAUUCUUGGGACCUUGGGACCUCAGUCACCCUGGAAGUGUAGGUAACAGCUGAAGGAUCAUUCACUUAAUACAUAUUCACUGGACAUCAAUUGUGUGCUAGGCACUGUGCUGGCUGCUGGUGUGUGUGAUUGUGUGUGUGUGUGUGUGUGUGUGUGUAAUAUGGAGUGCCUAUUUAUAAUUAAUAAAAACAGUAUGAAUGAGGAUGACAGCUAAAUUUAUUGAGCGUUUUUUAUGUCGUAAACCCUUUUUCUAAGCAUGGCGGCAUAUUGUGCUUUUUUUUAGUAUUGUAGUGAUUUUAUUUACGUAUUUAUUGAAGUAUGGUUGAUUUAUAAUGUUGUGUUGGUGUUUGUGUUGUUGCUGUUUUAGUCACUAAGUUGUGUCCAACUCUUUCGCCACCCCGUGGACUGUAGCCUGACAGGUUCCUCUGUCCACUGGAUUUCCCAGGCAACAAUACUCGAGUGGGUUAUCAUUUCUUUCUCCAGGGGCUCUUCCCUACCCAGGGAUUGAACCCAUAUCUCCUGCACUAGAAGGCAGAUUCUUUACCGCUGAACCACUAGGUGCUGGUGUCAUAUUAUCUUAUUUAAUUCUGGUGAUAAGCCUUGGAAGUCAGCAGAUUCUAUUAUUAUCUACUGUUUUGCAGCUGAGACAGGAUAAGUAACUUGCUGAGGGCCACUCGGCCCACUGGCGAAAUUAGAGCUCCAUCAGAUUGAGAGGUCUACACCUGUGACCAUUUG